UUAUAUACAAGAAUUGCUCGUUUUAAGCAUGGACGUAUAAAAAAAGGCGGACAGAGUCCCAAAAUACACAAAACUGUGUCGUCAGAGUAGGCCAGCUGGCUGUGUGUACACGGUCCGUACGCACACAUUCUUGCGCUAGUCCAUACCAUUUGACAGGCGUAAGAAUGUGUGCGUGGCCGACUCUGAAGAAAAGUGAAAACACAGUUUUGUAUAUAACAAGACUGCGUCCGCCUUUUUUUCUACGUUCAUGCAUUAUAUAGACAUAUACCG